CUCUUCCAUUUAAAAAAGAAAAUAUUUAGGUAGUUCACAAGGUGUCAUACAAUCGUAAAUCGUAUAUGAAAAUCUUAAAAAAGUAUUAGACUUGUGAGCAUCCCUGCGAGUUGUAAAUAACAUAUAGUCAUAUCUAAUCAGCUGUUUGCUAAAAUUUAAAUAACUAAAAUGCCGCGCGCAAGUGAAAAAGACAAAAUUGUAGCAGUUGUGUGCCUAAAUCGUAUGAUUGAUUUACUGGAUAUGAAUUCGAGUAUGGGUUACAUUUUUUACGGCAUUUAUUUACAUAUUCAUUACACACCUUUACUAUUUUCCAGGCGACGAGGAAGAUGAAGCGAUUGAAAAUUUUAAUUCAUACAUGCUUUGUGUGCUAAAUAAUCGCAGAGGUGUUCACCUUGGCAUUCCAAAAUCAUGCCAAUGGGAGCAAACGGUGCUCAGAAAAUUUGAUGAUAACAGGUUCAAUCAAAUGGUUAGGGUCCGUCCCGAGGAGUUUUGUUAUAUUUUAAACUUAAUAAAGCAUGACGAAGUUUUUAACACAAGUUCAAGUGAACUGCAGCUCCCAAAGGAAUUGCAGCUUAAAAUUGUCCUUUACCGUUUAGGAUCAUCCGGUGAAGGACAAUCUGUGCGUAAAGUAGCUUCCCUUUUUGGUGUUGGUGAUGGGGGCACUAUUUACAAUCUAACCAGGAGGAUACCCAUGAAAGAGAAAGGCAGCAAAUUGUGUCCUCAACCAGUACAGAAAUGCCGGGAUGUGUUGGAUAUGUAGACAGUUCUGAGGUUAAACUAUCUGAAGCUCCUGUUAAUGAGCAUACGAUGUACUAUUCUCGCAAACGGCAAUAUGCGGUCAAGCUUCAAGCUAUAAGUGAUUAUAAAUUGAGAAUAAUACUAUGUUCACAUAUAAUCAGGUUAGCCAGGUUAGCUAGGUUAACUAGGUUAUCUUGUAACCUACCCAUAAAAUGAGAGGUUAGCCAUAUAAUUUGUAUGAAAAGAUAACCUCGGUCUGCUCUAUAACCUACGCGGUUAUUUUAUAACCUACUAAAAUAUGCAUUGCUGCAUUGGAAAGCAGUCGAAAUAUACUCGAAAUUGCGACACCUCAGUCUCUAUUGGGAAUAUUUUUGCUUAAAUUUGAGAGCAACUGAGAAAAAAUUCGCAGGAAUUUAAAAAAUGGAUCAAAUAAAUCGGAAAAGGAAAAACCGUGUUAAAUGGACAGUAGAUGCAGAGAAAUUGCUGCUAUUGCACUGGGCAGAUAGUAUAGACGAAUUACGAAGCGCGAAAAAAAUUUUCAUAUCUUUGCGCGUUUAGAAAAGGAAUUUUCAAAAAGGCAGAUGAACUACAGUGCAGCUGAAAUUAAAGAAAAAGGGCAUAAUUUUACCAAUUGAUACAAGGCAAUUCUCGAUCUGAUUGGUCUAAUCACAAUCAAUUCAAACGCAACUUGAUCGAUGUCUGAGUUUUCGUGCAUCGUUGGACUUGAUCGUCUUUUUCUGUACAAUCAUUUCCAAUCAUCAUACCGGAACCAACCAAUCAGUUUCAAUCACUACAAGGAGGUGGAAGAAAUACUCAGUGGUAAUAAGGCAGUAAAUUUCAAAGAACUCAUGCAAGAGAGUAUAGAUGUGGAACCAGAUGACAACAAUGGUUGUGCUGCUAUCUACCCUUCGACGAGCAGCCAAUCCCAAUUCAUUUCAAGCGAUGAGCUUGCAGGACUUUCGACGACUCCGGAGUCUGCAAAAAGAAGGAAAUUAACCCAUGAGCGUUUAGUAGAGAAUUUGGAAAAAACUUCAGAUAUGUUUAAGAAAGAAAUGGAGACCAUGAGAGGGGUGCAAGAAAGAAUGGUGGAACUAACCGAAAAAGCAGUUCUUUCGGAAGAGAAAAGGAAUGAUAUUUUAAAAGAAAUUAGUGAAAAUACGAAAAGUUUUUAUAAAGACGUUAUUAAUUUGUUAAAUGAAAAAUAAAAAUAACAAACUUACAAAAUGAAUUCGCAAUCGCUCUUCUAAUUGUUUCAGGUUCUGCUUCAAAAUCUGCUACAGCAUCUGUGUGCUCGGGCUGUUCCACUUUCGUAAGUGGUUUGUUCUUCUAUCCAUUUGUG